rnacentral:rRNA from 1 species
UUGCACGCUGGCGGCAUGCUUUACACAUGCAAGUCGCACGGCAGCGCGGGCUUCGGCCUGGCGGCGAGUGGCGAACGGGUGAGUAAUGCAUCGGAACGUGCCCAGUAGUGGGGGAUAGCCCGGCGAAAGCCGGAUUAAUACCGCAUACGACCUGAGGGUGAAAGCGGGGGACCGAAAGGCCUCGCGCUAUUGGAGCGGCCGUUGUCGGAUUAGCUAGUUGGUGGGGUAAAGGCUUACCAAGGCGACGAUCCGUAGCUGGUCUGAGAGGACGACCAGCCACACUGGGACUGAGACACGGCCCAGACUCCUACGGGAGGCAGCAGUGGGGAAUUUUGGACAAUGGGGGCAACCCUGAUCCAGCCAUGCCGCGUGCGGGAAGAAGGCCUUCGGGUUGUAAACCGCUUUUGUUCGGGAAGAAAUCCUCUGGGCUAAUACCCCGGGGGGAUGACGGUACCGGAAGAAUAAGCACCGGCUAACUACGUG